rnacentral:rRNA from 1 species
UACGGAGGGCGCGAGCGUUACCCGGAUUUACUGGGCGUAAAGGGCGUGUAGGCGGCUUGGGGCGUCCCAUGUGAAAGGCCACGGCUCAACCGUGGAGGAGCGUGGGAUACGCUCAGGCUAGACGAUGGGAGAGGGUGGUGCAAUUCCCGGUGUAGCGGUGAAAUGCGCAGAUACCGGGAGGAACGCUGAUGGCGAAGGCAGCCACCUGGCCCACUGGUGACGCUGAGGCGCGAAAGCGUGGGGAGCAAACCGG